CUACGCCGGAUGGAUUGAAACGCGUCAGCCAAGGCUGUACCAUUCGCCGUAUGGUUGUAAUUCCGGCAAUCUCGAGGCGUUCUGGACAGGGGUUCGACUCCCUCAUCUCCACCUAAGCGUAAGGGAAGGCGUUUAGGUGGGGAUGUACCGGUUUCGACAGGGCGGGCAAAGGUGCGCAGGCAACUCGUCAGGCGAUCGACGUUAAUGAAGCAAAUCCAUAAAUGCCAAUGAUGAGCAUUUUGCUAUUGCCGCCUAAAAACGGCUAGCCGGGGCUGCUGGAGCCUUGUUACCAAAGACAGCCGGCGGGGACUUCGGUCCCCGUCGUCA
rnacentral:tmRNA from 1 species